CAGAGCAAUCACAGUCAAGACUAGGAGGAGGACAAUGCCAGGGUCAGCCCAACCUUCUUCAACACUGAGUGAGUGUUUUACCAAGUCAAUUAAACCUACAAAUUACAACAGAGAUGCUCACUGGAAGUCGCACACAGCUGGCUCAUGACUCUCCUGGCUAUCCCAGCACACUGACUCCCCCUCCUACAAGGCCAACACUCUUUCUGAAAACACCGGACACAUCCCCAAACUCCAUCCCACAGGCUCCAUCAAGCAGACCUUGGCGGUCUAGAUGGCUCAUGGCAGAUGGCGCCAUGUGGACUAAUCAAGAAGUCAGACAAGAAAAGCCUACCCCCUCUUCCAUUUGCCAGGAAAUGUAAUUGUUUGGAUUUUAAUCAUAGCUACAGCUAAGAGCCAAUGUACAGUCCCCUUCAGCCCAAAGAUAAAUUUUCCACUCUUAGCAUUCAA